AGUGAACGCUGGCGGUAGGCCUAACACAUGCAAGUCGAACGGCAGCACAGUAAGAGCUUGCUCUUACGGGUGGCGAGUGGCGGACGGGUGAGGAAUACAUCGGAAUCUACUUUUUCGUGGGGGAUAACGUAGGGAAACUUACGCUAAUACCGCAUACGACCUACGGGUGAAAGCAGUGGAUCUUCGCACCUUGCGCGAUUGAAUGAGCCGAUGUCGGAUUAGCUAGUUGGCGGGGUAAAGGCCCACCAAGGCGACGAUCCGUAGCUGGUCUGAGAGGAUGAUCGGCCACACUGGAACUGAGACACGGUCCAGACUCCUACGGGAGGCAGCAGUGGGGAAUAUUGGACAAUGGGCGCAAGCCUGAUCCAGCCAUACCGCGUGGGUGAAGAAGGCCUUCGGGUUGUAAAGCCCUUUUGUUGGGAAAGAACAGCAGCAGGUUAAUACCCCGCUGUUCUGACGGUACCCAAAGAAUAAGCACCGGCUAACUUCGUG
rnacentral:rRNA from 1 species